UUGAAACGUGUAGAAGGUAUUAGUAAACGGUAUUUGCUCGUUCUAUAUAUAAUAGUAAGAUUACCCCUGAAAGAUAUGAAUACAAAUACAGUACACUGUUAGAUGCAAGAUUUGUUCUCAUUUUCUUUUUUAUUGAUGUUCUAACAAAAAUGUUUAAUUGUUGAAUGGGGAACUUUUUAUUUCAAAGUAUCUUCUAUUUAUCGGUUAUAUUCAAAAUGCCCUGUCAAUUUUCAACUGUCAAUUUUUAUACAAUUUUUACAAUUAUAAGAAGUUCAAGCGCUCCGGUCAACAAUGACAACUGUGGCGUCACGGGAGAAACCGUGGCCGGACCAACGCGGCAAUCAAAGUGUUAAACUUCGCUAGGAAAGAUGUAGAGAAACGUUGCCGUGUUUUCCUUAGUAAACGAUCAUAAGUUACGAUAGUUAGCGCAGUUAGGACUCCGCGUGAAUGUCCGGACAGUAAACUGCACACGUGCGACGAGAAAAUCCAAAAUUACGAUGUCCCAACUAGCCGAACACGAGGAAAUCUUACUGACUGUAAGUUAUGUUCCGCGUAACGUUCGGGAAGAGCAUUAAUUCCUUCCACCGAGUUUGUUUCACAGUAUUUUCUGCUACAAGCAACACAAAGAACAACGAAGUGGGUGAGAAUGAUCGAAAGGAGAAAAUUGCGAAAUGUCGAGGAUGAUCGAUUGUUUUCCUUCGCUUAUCCGCCAGCGGUUGGGACAAGAAAAAGAAAGGGAGGGAGGGAGCUAAAGUGGCAAGAAUGGCAGCGUGAACGACUUGUAAUGUCUGUUGUCGAGAGACUGAAGUUAAUUGCAAUAUCAUUAUGAAAAUCGGCGACGUGUAACGUUUGUCCUAGUUACGUUCGACACGAAGACCUCGUACAAUAUCUACACUACGUUUGACCGAGUUAAUAUAAGGAAGAUAAAUGUAUAUCUUUAUGAAGAAUUUUUCUUUGAGAUUGAUGUUACCAUUAAAGUAAUCAGGU